AACGCGAAGAACCUUACCUACCCUUGACAUCUAGCGAAUCUGGCUUAAGGGCCAGAGUGCCGAAAGGAGCGCUAAGACAGGUGCUGCAUGGCUGUCGUCAGCUCGUGUCGUGAGAUGUUGGGUUAAGUCCCGUAACGAGCGCAACCCCUAUCCUUCGUUGCCAUGCCGUAAGGCGGAACUCGAAGGAGACUGCCGGUGACAAACCGGAGGAAGGUGGGGAUGACGUCAAGUCAUCAUGGCCUUUAUGGGUAGGGCUACACACGUACUACAAUGGGAUGGAACAGAGGGUCGCCAACCCGCGAGGGGGAGCCAAUCCCGUAAAACAUCUCGUAGUCCAGAUUGGAGUCUGCAACUCGACUCCAUGAAGUUGGAAUCGCUAGUAAUCGCGGAUCAGAAUGCCGCGGUGAAUACGUUCCCGGGCCUUGUACACACCGAUAGC
rnacentral:rRNA from 1 species